UUGCCUUGUGACCUUUGAGAAGUUAUUUAUCCUUUCUUUGCCUCAAUUUCUCCUUCUAUAAAAUGUUAAUUCUAGCAGUCUUUAUCUACUGGGAUUACUAUGGAAUUAAAUGAACUCAUACAAGUAGAUGAGGAACAUUUAUAAUAGCAUUAUGUAAUGAAAUUGUUCAAUAAGCUUUGGCCAAUAUUAGUCAUUGUUAUGGUGAGUGUUCUUACAUAGCUCCUGAAUAUAUCAUUUCAUCAUACUGAACACGAGUGACAGCACAUAUGCCAUGGAACCUGCAAUAUUGCCUCUUUAUAUCUGAAGAAUUGCCAGGCUAAAAUCAGGUAACCUUCUAGGGAAUAUGAAAUUAUUGAUGCCUCUAGUGCAAGUCUACAAAUUUUCUUCAUAUUCUGAUAGUAUUUUAGGACAUUUUCAUGGAAAACACACAAACACACUGUAAGCUCUUGGUGUAAGUCAAACAUUCUUUUAAACAUUUUACAUAUAUAAUUUCUCCUCACAACAAUUUUAUAAGUACAAUUAUUAUUUUUAUUUUAAGAUGAUUAAUUUGAGGUCAUAUGAGUUAACAUCGGUUAAGAUCUAAUAAUAUUAAGUGAUUUAGCCAGGGUUUGCCCUCAAGUCUGAUUCCAAAUUAAUGCUCAUAACCGUUAUACUGUGUUAAGUAAACAGGACAGAUGUCCAAGGGAGGUGAUGAUGGCCAAGAGCUACCCAUUAUACUCCCUUUUAGCUCAUUUUCUGUUGCUUCAACAGAUACCUGAGAAUAAGCAAUUAUAAAGAAAAAUGCUUUAUUUAGCUUGCAGUUCUUGAGAUCCAAGAGCAUGGCACUGGCAUUUGUGUGGAUGCUGGUGAUGACUUCAUGCUGCAACAACUUAUGGCUGAAAUUUGGAGGGCAAAAUGGGUGCAUGAGGAAGAGCACAUCUGUGUGAGGAACAAAUGGAAGCAUCAUACAGGCUUCACAAAAUCCACUUUGGUGGUUACCAUCAAGUCUCUCAUGGACUGCAUUAAUUCCUUCCAGAGGGAUAAUCUCUUAUGACCUUAAAUACCUCUUAAAGAUUCCAGAUUCCACACCUCUCAACACCAUUAUGUUGUAGAACAAAAUCUCAACAUGAGUUUUGGCAGGUACAAACUAUAUACAAAAACCACAACAUGUUCCAACGAAAUUAUCACAUUUUCUUUAAUAUGUAAGCUAGAUAUUAGAUAGCUCCAUUUUCAUGCCAGAAGGUAUAAAAUAAGGGUCAUUAAUAAGGGUGUAUAAACAUAGUUUGUUUCUUGUAUCUGAGCUCAACUUUUCUUCGUUCCUCAUUCUUCCUCUAGGCAUGAUCAAGAUUGGGGCUCCCCACUUGCUGACUGAGACUCCUCACUUGUGCUGUUGAAGUUCUUGACCCUCUGAAGCAUGCUGUGGUUUGGACCAUGGGGGUUUGAACUUGAACCGUAGCAUGAAACAGGAAACAACAUUUUCUACUCCAGCCCAGGACUGUGACACUAUUGGGAGUAAAGAAAAAAGAGCAGCUGAUUCCAGAGAGAAUAGAGGUAUCAGGAAACUGAAUUUUAGUGCAGCAUCUUCCGAGGAGAACAGCCAGUGCAGAAUCUUCACCUGCGUGGUGACCUUCUCAUCACUGGAGACAUUCUCUGAGCUGUUUAUGUGGUAUGAAUAGUGUUAGUGAGCAAAUUGCGUAUACUGGGUCCAUUCCAACAUCCCACUAUGGCCUCUAUCUCUCCAGUAACUCUUGCUGUAUCUUUUUGGAUGUGUAGAUAUCUCCUUUGGAGUUGGCCUUAUGUUAUUCUGCCUAGUCUACAUAGGGCUCUUAUUUUGUUAGGGUUCAGAGUCAACCAAGAAAGGUUGGGCUGGAUCCCCCAAAUAGGCGUUACUUUGUGAGGAGACAACUGUCUUUGAUCAGUUAUUGAGAGGCUUUUUUUCAGGAUUCAGCUAGUUCCCUUAAAGAUGGGCUAUGAGAAUGCUCUUGAGGGAGAGAGUUUCAUGAACUCUGCAAGGGAUGUCCACAGUAUUGUGGGUUAGAGAUCCUCAGCAUCAUCACUGUCUGUUCAAAUGCCCUAUCUCAUUUCACAGGGUCUCCUUUCUCCCCAUUAUAUUAGGACCUUGCUUAAUUGCUGAUGCAGUUCUGCUAGCCUUAAAAUCUGGUUUUGCAGAAUUUCUAAUUACAGUUGAGUAAUUUGAAGUACAUUUAAAAAAUGACAAUUUAAGGAUUUCUUAGGCUGUAGGAAAAACACUAAGGAUAGUGCAGUAAAUCAAGGCUAAUACCAGAGGGGUGUUUUUCCCAACCUGGGGCUACAAGCACCUAGGAUAAGUUACAGAAAGCGGUGCAGAGGCACCUAUCAAAAGCUAUAAUUUGGGGGCCAGCACUGUGACGCAGUGGAUUAAUACUUUGGCCCGAAGUGCCAGCAUCCCAUAUGGGCACCGGUUCGAGACCCGGCUGCUCCUCUUACGAUCCAGAUCUCUGCUAUGGCCUGGGAAGGCAGUAGAAAAUGGUCCAAGUCCUUGGGCCCCUGCACCUGCAUAGGAGACUUGGAAGAACCUCUCAGCUCCUGGCUUCGGAUCGGCGCAGCUCUGGCUGUUGCGGCCAACUGGGGAGUGAACCAUUGGAUGGAAGACCUCUCUCUCUCUCUCCUCUCUCUGUGUAACUCUGACUUUCAAAUAAAUAAAUAAAUCUUUAAAAAAAAGAGCUAUAAUCUUUUGUUGAGGAAGAAUGCAGUGCAUGGUAAAUCAGCAGUGAAGGUUUCAGGAAAAAAUGCCACCACCCCACUCUCAUUUCUUUUCAACUUUAAAAAAUGUUUUCUAUUUAUUGAAACCAACUAGUGUGGGGAGCAACUCGGAGUAGACUGUUACUGGAAUUAAGACUUAUUCUAUAUAUCUGCUCUCCCACAAUAUGGCGCUGGGAGAGGAGGAAACAGCUUCUACACAGCUGCCUCCAGUUCAACCAAUAAACAGCAGGACCUGCUCCUGAUUGGAGGAGAGCAGCGUACUCGGCGUGUGGGUAGCAGAGUUGGGAUUGGUGGAAGAGGACUAUAAAGGAGGAGAGAGAUAACAUGCACCAGGAACAUCUGAGGGAACAUCUAAGAGGAACACCUGAGCAGCCCCCGAGAGAGCCGGCCGGCGGUGUGCCGCUCCCCCGCGGAAGUGGGGAAAGUGGCAGGGGGAACCGCCCUUCCACGGAGGUGGAAGGGACGGUAGCCAACCCGGGAAGAACCAGCAGCAAACCCGGGGA